rnacentral:tRNA from 1 species
GCCUCCCGUCGUGCGACUGGAAGGGCCCGACCGCGUCCGUCGCGGGGAGGAGGUGACCUUCGACGCCUCGCGGAGUUCCGAUCCCCAGGGGCGGCCCC